AUAAUACGCAGAGCAGGAGUUUGAAGGUGGGCACUUGGCCUCUUUAACCAUUGCUGGUAUCCCUGUCCAGGCACAUAUAGCUUCCUGGAGCCAUUUGAAGGAUUUUACAUGUAUUUUCUCAUAUUAACUGCCUCUGAGGUAGUUACAAUUAUUAUUCCCAUUUUACAAAUGGGGAAACUGAGGUACAGAAAGGUGUGGCCCAGGCUGGAGUGCAGUGGUAUGAUCUUGGCUCACUGCAACCUCCAUGAUAUGGUUUGGCUGUGUCCCCAUUCAAAUCUUAACUUGAAUUGUAUCUCCCAGAAUUCCCACGUGUU
rnacentral:lncRNA from 1 species